UAAAGUAUAAUAAAUAAUAUGAAUAAAUUAAAAUGUAGUGCUACCAAUAAGUAAUUAGGAAUGUGUUGUCGAAGGCUUUCAUGGCCGGGAUCACAGGGUUGUAUAUCUUUUGGGCUAUCUGGCCAUGUUCAAGAAGUAUUCUCUCCUGACGUUUUGCCCACAUCUAUGGCAGGCAUCCUCAGAGGUUGUGAGGGCGAUUCGAUCAAAGAGGGCAAAGGUCUCCUUCACGGGAGGAAAACUACAACUUCUGGUCCGGGAAGAAUCCAAGCAUGUUCAAGGCUGAGUUGCGAAAAGGAACAACAAUGCCAGUCAUCUGUAUUCGUUUAUGCUUUGCACUUAUGACUUCUUCUCAGCGUUUUCUCACAAAUUUGCAGGAUCCGCAAAUUCCUGUCGGUCACAUCAGCUCAUUUUAGAUCUGCCGCAUAGCCUUCACCUGCAACUUCCAUAUUCACGUAACCAUCGCCACUUUGUUGCACAUGUCCACACCAUCUCAGAUGAGAUUCCUUCAUCUUCUCGGCAAUCGGAUUAACUCCGAAGACUGUAUCGAUUGGAAUCCUGUCCUUCAGGAUAACACUCAUUGACCACCUGAGCAUCCGCAUUUCCAUAGUGUGCAGAGUUUGCUCGACAGCCUUAGUGGUUGGCGUAUAGGGUGACCGGCCUCACCACCAUCCUAUAGAUUUUCUAUUUUAGGCAGAUUGGGAUUUUCUUAUCACUCAUCACUUCCUACUACAUCCAUGCAGCAUUUGUGAGCCCGUGAGUAUCCAACAGUACCUUGUUGUUGGAGAUAAUCUUUGAGCCAAGGUAUUUAAAGCUGGUCACUUUGUUGAGGUCAGUACCAUUGAUAUUGAUGGAUCAUCUGAUGGAGCCCUCCUCUACCAAGGAUCAUCUGAUGGAGUCCUCUUCUACCAUGGAUCACCUGAUGGAGCCCUCCUUUACCAAGGAUCAUCUGAUGGAGUCCUCCUCUACCAAGGAUCAUCUGAUGGAGUCCUCCUCUCCCAUGGAUCACCUGAUGGAGCCCUCCUCUACCAAGGAUCAUCUGAUGGAGUCCUCCUCUACCAAGGAUCAUCUGAUGGAGCCCUUCUUUACCAAGGAUCAUCUGAUUGAGCCCUUCUUUACCAUGGAUUAUCUGACGGAGCCCUCCUCUACCAAGGAUCAUCUGAUGGAGCCCUUCUUUACCAUGGAUCACCUGAUGGAGCUCUCCUCUACCAUGGAUCACUUGAUGGAGCCCUCCUCUACCAUGGAUCACUAGAUGGAGCCCUCAUCUACCAAGGAUCAUCUGAUGGAGCCUUCCUCUACCAUGGAUCAUUUAAAGGCAGAACAAACUCUGAGGAACGUAGAGGCCUUUUCUGCUCUGGCAUUGGAAAGCAAGUAAGGAAGCAGUAUGACAGUUUAUUUGCCCCAAACCAAAAUAGAAUCCUAUAUUUUAAAACAAGUCUUCUUUUCCAUCAUGUUUUGAGGGUUUGGUUUGGUUUUAAGGUGAAUAUAUACACAACUUUGACAGUUCUUCAGAAGGAGCCAAGACCGGAGCUGUAUAACAUUUCACUGCUCCUAAUUCAUGAGAUGUUUUGAUUGCUCCAGAAGUCUGUUUGCAAAAACGUUUUAUACGUACAACAUGCCUCAGGGGAAAAGACCUGAUAUGGAAAGUCCCUUUCCCUGUUUGUUGCUUGGUUUUAGGACGUCUUGUGCGUCAGCAGUCGGACUUAUCUGGCAUUCCUCUGGCCUCCUAUCAUGUGUACAGAUGGCGGCUUGUUCAGGAAACCUGCACACCUUUGCUACCUGAAGUUGUGGAAUGCAGGCUACUCUCUCCUUUGUCUACCUGUUACAUGAAAACGGCCUUUUCCCAGAAAGUAGCACGAGUUGAAAAAACAAAACUGAAAACUUUUUACCAGAACACGAGUGGCCAAGGGUUCUCAAGACGGCAAAAGUGAUUUAUGAGUUGGGAGGCACAAACUGGGAUGUUUGCUUUUGUUUGGUUUGCAAGAACUGAAGUUGGGAGUAGGAACCUGGGAUGUUUCAAAAGCAGUCGAUAACAUGGGAUAAUAGUGAAUUCAGACAAAUCAGGAUUGUUAGAAGUAUGAGGAAAAUGGACAAAAUCCUGUACUUUGGAUCACAUAGAGAAGGGUGACUGUGCCUAUGGUGUUUAUUUUGCUGUCUAUGCCCCUCUUCAGAAGAGUUCGCCUCACUUUCUGUUCCUGCAAUAAUUAGAUUUUGAACAACAUGGCUUGUUGUGAAAACAAGGAUUGAUAAAGUUUCAUCAGAACUUUAUCAUGAGAACUAUUUCAUGAGUGAAUUUGCCUUCUGAAGGGUAGAUUUCUCUCACUACCUGUUAUCUCACACCCGUUCUUAACUGUGAUUUGUUUGUAAGUCUAUAGAAAUGAAGUUUUGUUACAUUGAGCCUCGUCUGAGGUGGUAUAAUAUGCGGGGGGAUUUUUUGAUAACAAUAUAUUGGCUGUAGUCCUUUGACGCAGAAA